GUUGUGGCUCAGUGGUAGAGCACUUCUGGCAAGUGUGAGACCCUGGGUUCGAUCCUCAGCACCACA
rnacentral:tRNA from 1 species